GUUCCUUGUCUAUGUUCCUUGGAACAGGACGUCAUAGAGGGUGAGAAUCCCGUGUGGCGAGGAGUGCGGUUCUUUGUAAAGUGCCUUCGAAGAGUCGAGUUGUUUGGGAAUGCAGCUCUAAGUGGGUGGUAAAUUCCAUCUAAAGCUAAAUAUUGGCGAGAGACCGAUAGCGAACAAGUACAGUGAUGGAAAGAUGAAAAGAACUUUGAAAAGAGAGUGAAAAAGUACGUGAAAUUGUUGAAAGGGAAGGGCAUUUGAUCAGACAUGGUGUUUUGUGCCCUCUGCUCCUUGUGGGUGGGGGAAUCUCGCAUUUCACUGGGCCAGCAUCAGUUUUGGUGGCAGGAUAAAUCCAUAGGAAUGUAGCUUGCCUCGGUAAGUAUUAUAGCCUGUGGGAAUACUGCCAGCUGGGACUGAGGACUGCGACGUAAGUCAAGGAUGCUGGCAUAAUGGUUAUAUGCCGC
rnacentral:rRNA from 1 species